AAUAAAUCUUCUCUUAUCCAACCCGUGCUUCAGCUCUACUUCUACUUUCUUUUUUCCCAUUUCCCGGCAUUUUUUAAAUUUCAAUUUAAAAAAUCACUCAUUGAGGUACCUAGCUCUGCACAUCCAGACCUAUGAGGUCAGGUCACCGAGCUAGGCAGCUUCUGCACGGGUUUAACAAAAAAUUCCAACCAAAUAUUAUUUUAGCGUUUCUAUUCCAAGCUCAGUGGAUUUUUGCGUCUACAUUCCAACUGCAUGUUGACCUCGCUCUGUUCCGAGCUCCAUCGCCGUUGACUUCUUGCCCCUCCACCUCUCAGUGCUCUGGUCCCAUCACCGCAGAUCCUUCCUCAUUUCCUGUGAUUCCUCCUGCCGCAGAUCCAACUCUUGCAACUCUCAUGGCAACAACAACAGCAAUGAUUAUCUCAAAGCUUCUCUCCUCUCAGGGCAUGGAUCUUUAUUUUAAGACAUGAUGGCCAAGAUGUGACAUGUGAAUAUUUUUUUGCUGCCAUGCGAGAUGCCAAUGAUGAAGAUGUUGCAAAUUUCUUGCUAUGGCAAGUAUUCUCAAGCUGGGAUCAUUGUUGUCAAAGUAAAUAUUUCUUAUAGUCCAGAAGCACAUCCUUUUUCUUUAAAAUUUAGUUAAGAGAUACCACCAACUCCUUAAGGAACCCACAUUCAUUUCUGUUGCAGUGGGUUUGCUUGAUUCCACUGACAAGGACAUUCCUCUUUCAACUGUUUAUGAUUCUAUGAGGCACUGCAAUCUGUUUCAAGUAAUGAUCAAUCAGUCUACACUACAAUCCUUGGAGUGACCAAGAUAUACUACAAAAUGAACGUAUGAUUUGUCUCAUAUUACUAAGUAUGAGCAUGGGUUUUUGGUGGGGAACAUUGUUGAACAGGCUGCAGUCAGAGAUGUUCAGGAGGCUUGUGUCUAUGAACGUAAUUUUGAGGAGGUUUAAUUAUUAAUAGUAUCUAAUUUUUUUUUAUUUGUUUCAUAUUUGAUCAUUUGUUGUUUCUGGAAUUCUUUGUUUUUUUUUUUCCAUAUUGGAUCUAUGUUGUUUAUGCUCCUAUAAUGAUUGAGGCAUGUUUCUCUUCUCUUUCUUGCUUAUAGUCGUAUAAAAAGACAGAAAUUGGAAAAUACUCAGAAUGCAAAAAUUAUUGGUUCAUUGCUUAUCAUUUUCUAUUUGGUUCAUUGUUCAUUGACAAUGCUCACUAUUGGUAAUAUCUUUUCUUUGUUAUUAAUAAAUAUGUGAAUGCUAACCUUUUUGCUAUUAGUUAUUCAUAUUUCCUGAAAUUUAAUGUCUUUGAUUGACCAUCAAGUAUAGCAUUGUGUGGGCUGAAGCUCGGAAGCAAAAGUAUUUGCCUUCUUUGGCUCAAAUGAAAGCUAUAGCAUGUUGGGCUUUUACUAAACUUGACUAUGGAAAUGAUGCCAAUGCUCUAAAGACCACAACAACAAAGAUGGGAGGUGGUUGGAUCCUUGAUGGCCAAAAGAGAUGGAUAGGAAAUAAUACGUUUGCUGGUUUGUUGGUUAUCUUUACUAGGAAUACAACAACGAACCAAAUAAAUGGCUUAGGUAUGGCUUUUGAAACGCAUCUUGAAGGAGCUCAAAGAUUUGCAGAAGGAUCCUCCUAUGUCAUGUAGAAGGCAUAGGUGGGUUGAAUAUGCAGAGAAGACAAGAUAUAAUGCCUCCCAGGUUCCAACUGAAUGGCAUGGUUGGGUCCAGUUCAUAACUGAUCACACUGGAUAUGAGGUUUCAUCUUCCAAGCCUAAAUAGGGACAAUUGUUUUUCAAUAAAUCAAUUAAGGAACUGUCAACCACAGGUUGUUGUCUAGAAGAGAGUUAUGGUGCCAAGCAUGAAGACAUAAUCCUUUAUGGACAAUCUGUUGGCAGUGGCCCAUCUUUGGAUCAUGCAGCUAGGUUGCCUCAAUUAAUAGUUGUUGUUCUGCACUAUCCUAUACUUUCUGGCUUAAGGGUCGUGUAUCUAGUAAAGCACAUCUUAGAUACAAGAACAUUGACAAGAUUCCGCAAGUUAAUUUUCCAAUUCUCAUAAUUCAUGCUGUGAACCUCGUGAUCAGCAUGUCACCAAACUACUCUAGAUAGAUAAAUGUAUUCAAGUCAAGAGUUUAAUUGGAGAGGGUGAGCUAUGCAACAAGGACAAUGACUUGGAACUAUCUAAGAGUGUUUUUCUUGGCAGGGUACUUCAGAUGAAGUUGUAGAUUGCUCCCUUGGCAAGCAACUCUGGGGUCUAUGUAAAGAGAAGUAUGAACCAUUGUGGCUCAAAGGAGGUAACCACUGUGAUUUGGAGCUCUUUCCUGAGUACAUCAGGCAUCUCAAGAAGUUCAUAACAACAGUUGAGAAAUCUCCAUCGCAACGAUACAGCUUCCGGCGGAGCAUAAACCAGUUUAAGCAGCCUCGAAAGAGUACAAAUAUUUUCAAAGUAAGUAGAAAAGGCACUGAUCGUAGUUUAGUAAAUUAUUUAUCAUAUGACAUUGCUAAGUUGAUGCUCCAAAUUAGUCUUGCAAUUCUUUUUCAAUAUAUUUAUCAUGAAUGCAUUUCAAUAUGUUAGCAGUUUUAGAUU